GUGAGGGUUGCUGGAGGUAUCAGAAGUGCGAAUGCUGACAUAAGUAACGAUAAAGCGGGUGAAAAGCCCGCUCGCCGGAAGACCAAGGGUUCCUGUCCAACGUUAAUCGGGGCAGGGUGAGUCGACCCCUAAGGCGAGGCCGAAAGGCGUAGUCGAUGGGAAACAGGUUAAUAUUCCUGUACUUGGUGUUACUGCGAAGGGGGGACGGAGAAGGCUAUGUUAGCCGGGCGACGGUUGUCCCGGUUUAAGCAUGUAGGCUGGUUAUCCAGGCAAAUCCGGAUAAUCAAGGCUGAGGUGUGAUGACGAGGCACUACGGUGCUGAAGUAACAAAUGCCCUGCUUCCAGGAAAAGCCUCUAAGCAUCAGGUAACAUUGAAUCGUACCCCAAACCGACACAGGUGGUCAGGUAGAGAAUACCAAGGCGCUUGAGAGAACUCGGGUGAAGGAACUAGGCAAAAUGGUGCCGUAACUUCGGGAGAAGGCACGCUGGUGUGUAGGUGAAGUCCCUGCGGAUGGAGCUGAGACCAGUCGAAGAUACCAGCUGGCUGCAACUGUUUAUUAAAAACACAGCACUGUGCAAACACGAAAGUGGACGUAUACGGUGUGACGCCUGCCCGGU
rnacentral:rRNA from 1 species